GACGAACGCUGGCGGCGUGCUUAACACAUGCAAGUCGUACGGUAAGGCCCUUUCGGGGUUACACGAGUGGCGAACGGGUGAGUAAGACGUGAGUAACCAGCCCACACCUUUGGGUUAACGCUAGGAAACUAGUGCUAAUUACGGAUAUAUGCCAUUGCCGCCUGGGGGGGGUUGGGAGGAUCGUGGGGGUGUGGGUGGACUCGCGGGCUGAUAGCUUGUUGGUGGGUUAGUGGGCUACCAAGGCGGCGACGGGUAGCCGGGCAGUGGGGGUGACCGGCCACACUGGGACUGAGGUACGGCCCAGACUCCUACGGGAGGCAGAAGGGGGGAAUAUUGCACAAUGGGCGCAAGCCUGAUGCAGCAAGGCCGCGGGCGGGAUGACGGCCUUCGGGUUGUAAACCGCUUUCAGCAGGGACGAAGCUUUUUGUGACGGUACCUGCAGAAGAAGCACCGGCUAACUACGUG
rnacentral:rRNA from 1 species